rnacentral:rRNA from 1 species
UGGGGAAUAUUGCACAAUGGGGGAAACCCUGAUGCAGCGACGCCGCGUGAACGAAGAAGGUAUUCGUAUCGUAAAGUUCUGUCCUAUGGGAAGAUAAUGACAGUACCAUAGAAGAAAGCUCCGGCUAAAUACGUGCCAGCAGCCGCGGUAAUACGUAUGGAGCGAGCGUUGUCCGGUAUUAUUGGGCGUAAAGGGUACGCAGGCGGUUUAAUAAGUCGAAUGUUAAAGAUCGGGGCUCAACCCCGCAAAGCAUUGGAAACUGAUAAACUUGAGUAGUGGAGAGGAAAGUGGAAUUCCUAGUGUAGUGGUGAAAUACGUAGAUAUUAGGAGGAAAACCAGGAGCGAAGGCGACUUUCUGGACACAAACUGACGCUGAGGUACGAAAGCGUGAGGAGCAAACAGG